rnacentral:tRNA from 1 species
CACCACAAAGCUUUUUAGAAGCACUAGCCUUUUAAGCUUGAGAAAGUAAUUAUACUUGUAGUGA